rnacentral:rRNA from 1 species
CUACGUGCCAGCAGCCGCGGUAAUACGGAGGGUGCGAGCGUUAAUCGGAAUAACUGGGCGUAAAGGGCACGCAGGCGGUUAUUUAAGUGAGGUGUGAAAGCCCCGGGCUUAACCUGGGAAUUGCAUUUCAGACUGGGUAACUAGAGUACUUUAGGGAGGGGUAGAAUUCCACGUGUAGCGGUGAAAUGCGUAGAGAUGUGGAGGAAUACCGAAGGCGAAGGCAGCCCCUUGGGAAUGUACUGACGCUCAUGUGCGAAAGCGUGGGGAGCAAACAGGAUUAGAUACCCUGGUAGUCCACGCUGUAAACGCUGUCGAUUUGGGGAUUGGGCUUAAAGCUUGGUGCCCGUAGCUAACGUGAUAAAUCGACCGCCUGGGGAGUACGGCCGCAAGGUUAAAACUCAAAUGAAUUGACGGGGGCCCGCACAAGCGGUGGAGCAUGUGGUUUAAUUCGAUGCAACGCGAAGAACCUUACCUACUCUUGACAUCC